GGGGUGUCAACAUCCAGCCUGGAACUAGGGCAGCAGUGGGUAUGAUUCUUGGAGUAAAUCUUUAAACGCUUUGCUGGCAGUUCCACUCCUCAUGUGUAACCGAGUUCCCAACCCACAUUUCCACUUACACCAUAGAAUGAGUGGAACAGCUCAAUACAUUGAGAGACGUUAUACUGUACCUGUCUGCAAUCAACCAGCUCAGUUUUGUGCAUGGCUCUACUACAUCUGGAGAAGAGCGAUUGAUCCUUCCUACUUGUGCAUGUAACAUGUGCACACAGCAUGCACAAAUUAAACAAGAGUGAUAGUUUGAAGGUGUGACAGAGCUCCCAUACUCUAACUGAGUACCUCCGACAAGUCUGCUGCCUCACCGCUACCUGGAGCGCUGCAGACCCAGUUGCCGAAGUUUGACUGGGAUCACUGAAGGCCUUUUCCACCCUGAACCAGGCUACUUUGAUUAUAGCCCUGGAAUCCCCUUCUUCACCAGUGCAGUGAUGAUACGAUACCUUCCUGGAAGGAGAGCUGCAGCCUAGUUGGGUGGAAAAGCUCCAGAGGGACCCCAGUCAAGCCUUGGCAACUGGGGUUGAAGUGCUCCAGGAUCCCAGCAAGCAACUAGCAAGUGAACUGGGUGGAGGUUCUCAGUCAGAG